AGCAGCCGCGGUAAUUCCAGCUCCAAUAGCGUAUAUUAAAGUUGUUGCAGUUAAAAAGCUCGUAGUUGAACCUUAGGCCCGUGCGGGUGGUCCGUCCUCAGGGCGAGCACUGCCUCGUCGCGGGUCUCACCUUCUGGCGAGCGUCGAUGCCAUUCACUUGGUGUCGGCGGGAACCAGGACCUUUACCUUGAAAAAUUAGAGUGCUCAAAGCGGGCUCGUACGCUUGAAUACAUUAGCAUGGAAUAAUGAAAUAGGACGACGGUUCUAUUUUGUUGGUUUCCGGGACAGUCGUAAUGAUUAAUAGGGAUAGUUGGGGGCAUUCGUAUUCAAUUGUCAGAGGUGAAAUUCUUGGAUUUAUUGAAGACGAACUACUGCGAAAGCAUUUGCCAAGGAUGUUUUCAUUAAUCAAGAACGAAAGUUGGGGGAUCGAAGACGAUCAGAUACCGUCGU
rnacentral:rRNA from 1 species